AUAUAUCCAUAAGUUGAUUUAACUUAUUUACAUAAACUCUCGUUGAUAGUUUAUGAAAACAGCUUAUAAAUUAUAUAAAAAUAGUUUGGUUUUAUUUUAUGUCUUGUUAUUUUAGUUGUGUAUCCAAACAAAGAUGUCUUCUGCAUGAGCUCAGGCUUGCUGUAUUUGUUUCACAUGAUUCGUAAACUCAAGCAACGAGUCUUUUGCUGCUCUGCUGUGCAUUUUUUUUAUGAACAUAGGAUGCGCCGGACAGACGGCCAUUUUUCACAUCGAAGCACUUGUGGCCAAGUUCAUGAGCGUCUAUAAAUCUUUCCUCAUUGCAACAUUUGACUGAAGUAUGCAUACUGUAAUUAUCAUGACAAGAUUUCGAUGAAUUCAAUGUAUUUUAUUUAAAAAGUAUAAUCAUUUUAACAUACAUUUUUCAUGAAUUCAAUGUAUUUUAUCUAUAUUUGUUUGAAUUUUAACCAAUAGGAGAUAAUGUGUUGGAUAAAUUGUAUUAGGGAAUGUGAUUAAAAGAGAGAUAAAGUUGUUGGAUUGAAGUAAAAUUUAAAGAAUGGGCUACACAAUGUCUAAA